UCGAGCAUCUACUACUCACUUAUUAUUUUUUUAAAGAAAUGUUAAGAAUGACAGGAUAUAAAUAGUCACAUAUUAAUAAAUGACAUCCUCAGGAAGGACCCAGAACAACUGAGCAAAAGUAAUCACCAAAAAGCUAGCAGAAGAAAAUAUUAUUAAACAAAAAAAGAACUGCUUCAUGGUCUAAAAUUACUGAAAAACAAAAUAAGAAAAUUAAGAAACACAUAAAUACUGCAAUAAAUACUGCAAUAAAUACAGCAUUUUACCUUGAAAAAGUCCUGAAGUUUGCUUGUGGAAGAAGGUGUCAGAAGGAUUCCAGCUCAUGAGUUACUGUGAAGUGGUGGAAGGAUGAUUAGCUGACUGGUUUCUGUGGGAGAAGUGCAAGACAAGUCAUGAAAGAUUACUCAAGAUCAGAACUUUGAAGACCAAGUUCUGAACAUGGCCCGCGAUUUGGCAAAUACUUAGUCAUUGAAUGCUGAAGAGCAGGGACAUCUUCAGAUCACUUCUCUCCAAAAAUGUGUGACUAUUAACAUUCUUGGCAAUAUUACUUCCAUUAUUUAGAUUACUUUUAUUGGUCACUACUGAUGGUAGCCAACCUCCAAGAUGGUCUUCAGUGAUCUCUUACUCCUAGUAUUUAUGCCCUUGUGUGAACUCUCCCAUAUUGUAUCAGGGUUGGUCUGCAUUGCCAGCAGGAUAUGGCAGUAGUGAUGGUUUGUCACUUCUGAGUUCAGGUUAUAAAAGACUUUGUACACUUUUGUACACUCGUGUGUGCGUAUCUCCCU
rnacentral:lncRNA from 1 species